rnacentral:tRNA from 1 species
UGCGGAUUGGAGAAAUGGCAUCUCAUAUGGCUCAUAACCAUAAGUUCCCGUUCGAGUCGAGGGUCCGCAAC